GCCCUUAUAGCUCAGUGGUAGAGCGCAUCACUCGUACUUCGUCCCUGAGGUCGCACAUGAUGAGGUCCGUUGUUCAAUCCAGCGUGAGGGCA